AGAAACUGAGACCCAGAAGAGAGGGAUUCUCCUUAACUAGUCAUGGGCAUGACAGAGCCUGCAGGUGAGAUGCGAUCCUGCCCGUGCCCAUUCCCUUUGUGGGUGGGGCUCCCAGUGGAGUCUUCCCUGUGUGGGGAUCUCCUGGAGAAAGGGCCGUCUUGUACUCUCCUGCUUUGCCUGGCACAGGAAGCCAUCUUUCCCACGCUGACCCUUUCAUUCUCCUAAGACCGGACAAGCUGUUGGAUCUCUUAGGUCUGGUACCUGCAGACCAGGAGGACACAUUUACUGACCUGAAGCACAAAGCCAGCUUUGCAGCUCUGAGGAGCGGCUCUAUUUUCACCCACCGGUGAGCUUGUAGAAACUGCGGUUUAGUUCACGUAAGGCUGAGAUAGAGCACCAUGAUUGCAGGCACGUCUUGGCCUGGGAUGGAGUGGACUCGGGUCUCCGCUCUCCUAUGAAUUGUUACCUCUCUGUUCUCUCAACCUGCAGAGUGGGGUUGAUGAUCUGUGUGUUGCCAUAGUUGUGAGUAUGUCUAGUCUGAUCCUUUCCCCACAACGAAAGCCAGGACUGUUGAAGACAUGACCACAAGAUUCUACAACUAUAAAGUAACAGUCAAUAUAGGAAGGCGUGUAAAUACAAGACAAUAAAAACCACUCGCAGCUGUACUCUGAAAAUGUUUGCAUCUCCUUCUCCCUAUAUCAACGCUUUAGUUACAUGGUCAAUUUAAACUAAUUUGGAGAUUUGCCCUGGCUUGAACCUCUAGAGGCCUCUUCAUCCUCCUAGGUUGGAGGUAGGUAGUGCCAGGCAGCUGCAACAGCUCCAUGACGUACGUCGUGGAGAGGACCAGAUUGGUCCUUGGGGCACUGGCUCCCCUCCCCAUGCCCAGGAUACUGAGCUCUGCCCAGGUGUCUCGUUCCAGCAGCAGGAGGGAGGAGCUCUGCUACAGCCCUGCAGGGCCUUGAGCUUUCUUUCAGAAUUUAUUCAGAUGACCGAAUCUUUAAGAGUGGCCAGGAAAUGUCAUCUUCUAACUAGACAUAUUGCCUAAGGUUUGUUACUAAGGAAGGGCAAAGUAUUUUGAGAAGCAGCUAGUCAUUUCUCAUAAGUAGGAACAUAGCUAGGUACAGUGACACAUGCCUGUGAUCUCAGUGACUUAGAAGCUGAGGCUGGAGGAUCACAAGUUUAGGGCUAGCCUGGGCAACUUAACAAGACCCUGUGUUGAAGUAAAAAAUUAUAAAGACUUGGGGAUAUAGCCAGUGGUAAAAACCCCCUGGUUCAAGAAACAAAAACCAAUAGAAACAUAAAAAUGAAUGACUUCUAAAGCUGGCCAUGGGCACAAACUUAUAGUCCCCACUACGUGGGAGGCUGAGGCAG
rnacentral:lncRNA from 1 species